GACGAACGCUGGCGGCGUGCUUAACACAUGCAAGUCGAACGGAAAGGCCCUGCUUUUGUGGGGUGCUCGAGUGGCGAACGGGUGAGUAACACGUGAGUAACCUGCCCUUGACUUUGGGAUAACUUCAGGAAACUGGGGCUAAUACCGGAUAGGAGCUCCUGCUGCAUGGUGGGGGUUGGAAAGUUUCGGCGGUUGGGGAUGGACUCGCGGCUUAUCAGCUUGUUGGUGGGGUAGUGGCUUACCAAGGCUUUGACGGGUAGCCGGCCUGAGAGGGUGACCGGCCACAUUGGGACUGAGAUACGGCCCAGACUCCUACGGGAGGCAGCAGUGGGGAAUAUUGCACAAUGGGCGGAAGCCUGAGACAGCAACGCCGCGUGCGGGAUGACGGCCUUCGUGUUGUAAACCGCUUUCGCCUGUGACGAAGCGUGAGUGACGGUAAUGGGUAAAGAAGCACCGGCUAACUACGUG
rnacentral:rRNA from 1 species